UACGGAGCCCCUAAAGGGACAUGGAUGGACUUUUUUUUUUUGCGAGAUCUCGCAAAAGUAUUGCGAGAUCUCGCAAUACUUUUUGCGAGAUCUCGCAAAACGUAUUGCGGGAUCUCGCAAUACUUUUUGCGAGAUCUCGCAAAAGUUUUUUCUCCAUUCAGUGAACCGGAAGUAAAACACGCCUAAAAUAGCCUAAAAUAAGCCUAAAAUAAUAAUAAUAAUAAGAAGAAGGAGCAACAGAGCACGGAUGAUGUGUACCAUAGACAUAAUAAAAGAUAGACCCCGCAUCGGCCGCUACCACGAAUGGGCGCUGUCGAGAAAUGCGGCCGCCAUCUUGGUCCGGUUAUCCGCCUCACUCUGC